rnacentral:lncRNA from 1 species
GACGAACUUCCAGCCCUGGAGCAUGUUUCUUCCUUUCCUGGGAUGUGGCGCUGAAAAGGGCAGAAACCUCUAGUAAGGCACAAGCAACAGAUUGGGGGUGGAGCAGCAGGUCUCUUUGGAGGUGGCCUGGAAGAAACCGGACAGAGAGGAUGGGAAGGGGAGAAACAGAAGAGUGUGACGAGAUCAUGAAGGAAAGAGGAGGCGUCUACUGAAUGUAAGGUAGAGCCAAAGGCAUCUAUUGAUGACUGAAGAAGAGGCAUGAAUAUGACAAAAACAGGAAGCUGGGAAAACGGCAAUGGAUUAAUAACAAGAAAUUAAUGGUGAAGUGGUGACGAAAAUUCUACAUUGCUUAGAAAGCAAAUAGUGAAAUGAACAUUUACAUUCUGGCAACCUCAGAAGUACAACGAACAGAGGACACCAGCCAGGUAGGGCAAAGGCCUGUGCGCCCCCUUUUGCUGUUACAUGUUUAUCAGAUGCGUGCUCUGUUUCUGUUGUAUUACAUUACUUUUCUCUUCAAUGUCUACUGAGGAAGAACAAGUAGCUCCUCAGGCAAGUCAACUGUUAACUCUGCAGUUUUUAUUUAAUCUCCCAGGAAUGUAACCCUUAACUUUAAAGAAUGUAGUGACCAUAAAACUUAUAAGGCAUGUUUCUUAAGGAAAUUGUACCUGUUUAUUUAAUCUAUCAGAUAUGAAUGUUAUAGAAAAUUAAAUUUGUCCACUUAAGCUGUAGAUGAACUUUUCACCUUUCUGAUCAGAAAUUCACCAUUUUAUAGUAUAGGUUCUGUUAUUAAUCAGAAUAUUUCAUUUAGACUCUUUCUAUCCAACUUUUUCUUAGAGGCUAUUCAAAAUAAAGGUGCUUCUAACAGUUUCAUAUCGAAAUACGAUGCAAAGCCUUGCUCUUCCAUGGUAUCCUUUGAGUGAGCCAAACUUAUUUAGCCAUUCCCCUAUAGUUAAAUAGCUAGGAUGUUUCCAACAUCUCACCUUUAAAACAAUAGUGCUAUGAAUGUCAUAA